UCUCUGGUGGUCCAUUGGCUAAGACUCCUGGCUUCCAAAGCAGGGGACCUGGGUUCAAUCCCUGGUCAGGGAA
rnacentral:tRNA from 1 species